AGCCCAGCCUACCAGGAGAAAAGUCUGAGAUUCUUCCUUUCAAGCAACUCCGCACACCCAACAUACUCAGCCAGUGUAUAUCAUCAUAGCUCCAUGGCAAUCAAUGUGCCCAGAUCCCCAGCAGGUGUAAAUUGGCUACAGUUCCAUUGACGUUAAUGGGUCAAAUUCUCAGCUGGCAUAAAUCAGCGUCUCUCCACUACAACCUCCACUUAGUAUCAACCCCAGCCAGCUAGCACAACUUUACAGAAAUCUGCUGCUAGCUUUGAUGAGGCUGGUGCACAGAGAAGACCCAGUCCAAAUCCAAGCUCUAAACCCUAGGUCCAAGCUCCAGCAUCUGCCAAACAGAAAAUGAGAGGACACAUUUGACUGGGGCUUUGAGAAAGGGAGCAGAAACAACCGUGAAUCCAUAACCGACUUGUUAAGACCUCCCUUAGCAGCCCAACAGGCCCUCGGCUUGAAUCGAGCUCUUGUUCUGUGUUACAUGUGGUGUACUGAACCUGGGCUGUUGUCACUGAUGGAGUCUGUAUCUAUGGAAAACAACCUAGUCUUCUUAAUGAAGUAUUCCAGAUAAGUGACCAGACUGAGGGGCACCUCCUAUCAGACAUUAGCGCAACUGCAGACUCUGCUAUCCCCAAGUUGAAGAGGACUCCCCACCUGUCCAUUAUUCAAUCUAGGCCAAAAGGGACUUCUAUGACUAUCUACUCUGACCUCUUGUGUAGCACAGGCCCUGAGGCUCUCCUGAAUUAACUCCUGCUGGAACUAGAGCAAUCUUUUAAUGCAGGGUUUGUUAAGCAACGUUUUUUCCCCACCCUUAUGAUUCUUGGACAACUCCAGGGCUGGCUACUUUGGCCAUUUCUUAGCAGCAACCCUGCUCCAGAUCUGUUAUUGACCUAAUCUACAGUAUCUUCUCCCAUCUCACUGUGGAAGAUCUCUCUUCCUGACACACGGCAUGACUGUGAAUGCUUCUGGCUGGUCCUCCAGAGCUAACAAACAACACUUCUCAUGAAGAAUAGACAGCUGAGGGAGUUGGCAGACAGGCAGUGAAGCCUUCUCAGGAUUCAUCGCUCCCCAGGCGAAGCCCCUCAGAAGGAACCAUAGCGUUAGUCUGGGAGGCCUGCGUUUGGGAAGGCAGGAAAUCACCACUCAGACUUUCCAAGGGAAUCAUUUCCAAUCUACAGCUUGAUCCGAAGUCCACUGAAAUCAACAGAAAGACUCCCGCGGACUUCAGUGAGCGUUGGAUUCAGGCCUGUAGUGAAGUACAGUAAGAGCCUUAAUGUAGCCUAGUUCAUCCUCCUGUCACGUGCUCCUGCAGUGCUGUAGCCAGCCUGCAGGCAAAGGCAGCGGUUUCCCUAUGAAGCACUGUUGCAAGGAGAAUGCUAGGACGGAGCAGGAAUUCACAGCUUUUCUUAUGAAGCGGAUGCUGGAGCUUUCAGG